UUUACCUUUUGGGACAUAGAUUCUAUAAAAAAUAAAAAAAACAUGUUUCAUGUCUGAGUUUUGGAAAAAUAGCAGUGAUCAACUGACCAAAGUUUUAUUCAGCUUAUUUAAUAAAAGUAGUAUUAAAACCAAAGCGCUCUAACUAAGGUAAACAUAGUAGGUAGUCAAAAGACAAACGGGCAAUAACAUGAUUUUAUAAUUGAUGGGCAAUUCAUGAAACAUAAAUAGUUAGAAUAGAUGAUAGAUCUAGGCUAGACCUCAUGACCUAAUAACUAGUUUGCAUUUUCCUCAAAUUUUAGGAAACGCCGAGGUAAAGAAGCAAGGAAUUCCAAAGGAUAGAAAUUAAAGAGCUUCUGCAGUUUGUGGUUACUAGAAACAUGAACCGUUUGGAACUGGAGGAAAGGGGAGCAGCAAAGAAGAAAAGGUGAAAGAAAGAACCUGGAAAAGAGCAACACAUUCAGAGCAGCUGGUGGCCAAGAGAGAGAAUGGCAUACAUUAAGAAAGAAAUGGCGAGACAUGGCUUUGAAAGCCAAAGCGUAUAAAGCCCAAAGAACAGGAUUCAGAGGCUACGGACCUGAGCUUGUCUAAUGAAAAUUUUC